rnacentral:rRNA from 1 species
GAGUUUGAUCCUGGCUCAGGAUAAACGCUGGCGGCGCACAUAAGACAUGCAAGUCGAACGGACUUAACCCAUUCUUUUAGAUUGGAAGCGGUUAGUGGCGGACUGGUGAGUAACGCGUGAGCAACCUGCCUAUUAGAGGGGAAUAACAGUGAGAAAUCACUGCUAAUACCGCAUAAGCUGAUAGUAUCGCAUGAUACAGUCAGAAAAGGAGCAAUCCGCUAAUAGAUGGGCUCGCGUCUGAUUAGCUAGUUGGUGGGGUAACGGCCUACCAAGGCAACGAUCAGUAGCCGGACUGAGAGGUUGAACGGCCACAUUGGGACUGAGAUACGGCCCAGACUCCUACGGGAGGCAGCAGUCGGGAAUAUUGCGCAAUGGAGGAAACUCUGACGCGGUGACGCCGCGUAUGGGAAGAAGGUUUUCGGAUUGUAAACCAUUGUCGUUAGGGAAGAAGAAGUGACAGUACCUAAGGAGGAAGCUCCGGCUAACUAUGUGCCAGCAGCCGCGGUAAUACAUAGGGAGCGAGCGUUAUCUGGAUUUAUUGGGUGUAAAGGGUGCGUAGACGGGAAUACAAGUUGGUUGUGAAAUCCCUCGGCUCAACCGAGGAACUGCAACCAAAACUAUAUUUCUUGAGUGCUGGAGAGGAAAGUGGAAUUCCUAGUGUAGCGGUGAAAUGCGUAGAUAUUAG